UUCUGAUAGUAGACAUUUUGAAUGAAUGAAUGAAUGAAUAUAUAAAACAAGUAAAAACAUUAUAUUGUGCCUAUGUGUAUCAAACCAAAUGAAAUGUGUGUAUGUGUGAGUUUAGUUGUGUGUGCACGCGUGUACACCCGUGCAUGUGUGUGUUUGUGAGUCUCUAGUGAGUGGAGACAACACACUUGAUCUUGAUAUGCUUGUAUCCGUGUAUUGCAGUGUUCACUAGGACUCGCUGUGUAUUGUUCUGACUCAGGUCUCAGGUCUUUUAUAGAAACAUAUUAACUGUAGCAAAUAUUAAUAUUGGUCAUUCCAUAGAAAUAUGUGAUCGGAGCAUUGUUGUUCAUAUCAUAGCAUCAGAAAUGCAUUUAGUCCUUUUUCAUAUCACUUUUUUUAUUGUACAAGUAUAGCAAAAAAGAAAACAGGGUUCCCCAAAAGUGGCUUUUAUUGAACAAGCUCAAUAAAUAUGGCCACUGAUUGUUUGAAGGUAAUCUGCAUCAUGCGUCUAUGCUAUUCUCCAACACAUAUUGAUUGGUAGCUGGAAGAUCUUAAUCUCAGCUACAGUGGUAGGCAUAAGUUUAGGCACCCAUGCUAAAAUUGACAAUGGUUAUUUUCAGUUAGCCUAAGAGCUAUUAGUAAGUCUAAUGAUUUCUCAAUGCAUAUCAAAUCAGCUAAUAGGCUAACUGAAAUAAAAACAUGCCAAUCUCUAGGUUUGGUCAAGGGUAUGUGAUGAUGUUGGGCUAUUUUAAUUCCAAGGCUAAGGGAACUUAAUCAGGAUGCAUAUUAUCCUAGAUCCAUGAAAUAACUGGCUUUUAAAACUAGAAAUCUGCCUGCCUCUAUGGGAAUUAACAUAGGGGUGUCUAAAUGUAUGCACCCUGUAUUUUAAUGGAGAACAUUUUUUUAUUUACCAUACAUUAUUCAUCCACAAAGCAAAUCGGUGUCCUUAAAGGUUGGAUUUUUCCUCAUUUGUUUAAUUAAGGCAUUAAGAUCAAUUUCCAAAAGAUGAUUUUUUAUUCCUCUUUUUAGUAAACUUUAGCAUGGGUGCCUAAACUUAUGCCUACCACUGUAUGCUUCACGUUACUUGAUUAUGAUUAUCCAAUGGGCACCCAAAGAAUAAAGAGUUUUUAUUGCUUUAUUUGACUUGCUACACACCGGCUACAAUCUGAGUGUCUUCAUGUAGAUUUUUCACAUAACAUUUGUUAUCACAUUUGCUUAUCAAAGAAAUUGCAUUUCUUUCCCAAAGAUCUCCAGUAACAUCAGCAACUCUACCUCUGAUAAUCCAUGAUAACCCUAACAUACACAUUUGUUUUUAAAAACAAUUUUAAAUACUAAGAAUAAACCAAUUUCUUCAGAAUAUACAAAUUAUAACAUAUUUUACAUUUGAAAUUUGUAAUCGGCAUAAAUAAAGUCAUGUACCACUCUUAAAAAGUUGUGGUGAUAAAGGACAUUUUGACAUGCAUACACUUAUUAGCUGUUUGAUCUGAAAGUAACAAUAGAGAAGGAUGGUUUGUGUUCUUAAAUUAUAAGCUCAUGCAUUACAUGUCAUGCAAAUACAUAAUCUACGGAAAAGAAAUGAUCAAUGAACCAUGAGACAUAAUUUGUGCAUUCCACGCUUCCACAAAAAGUUCAGUUCCAACUCCUUAAUCCAUAACCCAUCAUGAAACCCCCUUGGUUCCUGCUUUAUGCUGGACUCAGCUCGGUGACGUGUUUUCAGCACUAGAAACAUGUCAUGGCAUCUGAUAUUUAAGAUAGUACUGAGCACACACAACAACAAAUGAUACAACACUGUUACAUUAAAUAAUACAUAUGUUAUUGAAGUGUCGCUAAAUAAUAUGAUACUUUCCUAAAUGUGUAUUUCUUAUGAUAGUGCUUUGUCAUAGGCACCACUGUGAGUAUAUGAUGUAAUUAUACUUCAGUGUUGUUGAACACUUGCUCCUGAUUGGCCAAUAUCAUUCCAAGGGUGCAUUAUUUUCCAUAACGGGAAACCUCUGUCCAAAUCAAUGCGCUUCAAUCCAACAUUUACAUCAACGGUCAAUUUCAGCGAUCCCGCAGAUGUUCCCUGGACAACGCAAAAAAUAUAGGCUGUUCAAAGCACCAUUUAAUAUUUAUUUUCAUUUUAUUCCGCUGAUCAGGUUAAUAAACACCAAUAACAUUACAGAUGACAGUAACUCAUGUGAUCAUUGUUAUUAGGUGUGGUAACCUGUGGACUUGACCUCAGCUGUAUCACCACCCCGGUCCCCCAGGGGUGAUAUCAUGCUUUUUCGCCUUUUCCCUUUGCUUUAGGCUGUUAUAUUAAAGGUUGGGUAUGGAAUUCUAUUUUUUGGCAAUUUUUGCAAAAUUACUUGAAAUCCUUAUCAUAACCCACUUACAGCCACUGAGUUAGAAGUACUGACAUGAAAAUUAAACAAGUCAAUCAUCUGUGGAACGGGCAGGGCUCGAAAAACUCCAGCCAAUGAUUUCCAAACCCACUUAGUGGCAUUGGACAGUAAGUACGUCAAUCAAACGGUCGUACUGCACUCCCCUCCCCCUCCCCCGCGCGACCCCUUCGUGCACGUACUCAAAGCUCGUACGCAGAGCAAGCUUCUGUUUGUUGUUAUCCUGCGGUAGCUACUGGAGCUAGCUAACUAGCUAAUGGCUCGCUCUCGCGCAUCUGUGUUCGCUCGUGCAUGAUUGCGCGUCCAUGUACUUGGAAUGGGUUGAGUCGGAGUCAGCGUUGACGUAGAGGGGGUAGGACCAUUUGAGUUGUGUAUUUUCAAAAUCUGCUGGCAUUUCGCAAAUCCCAUACCCUACCUUUAAGCUAGAGAAAUCUAAGUCCGAACCAGGGAGAGUAUUUUUUCCCCAUCGACAACGGCAUUCAAUAAGUGCGUGAAACUGCUUGUUUGCGCUUAAACAUUACUUCUGUAAUAGUGUGACGUGACGGUCACAGAUUGUGCAGUGGGCGCUAAAGUGCAGACGUCCCGCACGCACAAAGCGUUCAACCGGGGCCUUAAAGCGACAUGAUACAAACUGACAACAAAUAUUUUUUUCGAACGCGCUGAAAUUGUUUUUGCAGAAAUGGACAGUGUGAGCGAAUAAUAAAAACUUUUAAAACAGUUCUAGGUAUACACGUUGACUGCAUUGUAUUAUUGUUGGCCUAUAAAUACUUGUUGGAAGCAGGAUUUCAUUGAGAAAAACAUGCCGUAUUUUGUAUUUUUUACCAACCAGAAUUUUUUAUAUAGUCUAUAGAAAAAUAACGAUUAAAUCGAUAAUUAAUAGUUGAUUGAUCAAUGAUUGAUCAAUGGCAUUUCUUAAAAUGCCCAUCCCUAAUAGUAGUACCCCCAAAUGCAGUUAUUAACCCUAAAAAAAGCAUGAUCUUUAAACAAUGGGACCCUGGACAGCUGUGGUCCUCAAGCAGCAGCAGUGCUUCUUCAAGGUGUGUCUUGUGGUUUCUUUCUUUAAGACCUUCAUGUUUCAUUUAAGGUUCCCAGAUCGAUUUGAGUUGACACACUGGGUGCAAAACAUCUAGCCACAACCCUGCAGACAGCUUCAGGGUUUAAACAUUAAGAAAAUAAUAAUGUACAAAUCAAUAAGUAAAUUAAGGGAAAUUAUGUAUAGAGAAAAAUUUACAAUUUAUGACAUUCAGAACAUUAAUCUGUCAGGUCUUAGUGAUCUAAGCUUCCUCUCAGUGCACAGCACGCGUGUGUUUAAUGACCAAGACAUUAAGCAGUCCAACUUGCAUACUGUCAGCCUAACACUCAGAGAACACUAACAUUGUUCUCUGUGCUACUGGGCGGCCUCAUACUAGUGCGAUGCCGUUGAUAAGAAAGGGGGCAGACAACCACAGAUCAGAGAACACUUCAGAUCACAACCUUCCACAUCAUAAUGUACAGACGCCUUCACCCAACAGGACCAGGUUCAGUCACAUCCUAAUGUACAGACACCCUCACACAGCACAGGACCAGGUUCAGUCCAGUACAUUCUGGUCCCAAUGUGUCUGUUCAGCAGCCCCCUCUCUGUCAAACACAAACAUGCUAACUUGACCCCCCCCCCCCCAAAGCAUUUUCAGUUAUUGAUAUCUCCGUAAACAAUAAGAAAAAAAAUGCAGGUUUUACAUAAUAAUUAAGUGUAAUGUUAAUUUUUAUGAAAAAAAUAAUUGAAUAGUGCAUUUGCUCUUUUUUUACUGACUUGGAUAUUUUUAAUUUGGAAUAGUAGAGAUAGUGAAUAGAUAACUUUUGGUAGACUGCAUUCUUUGUCGAAAUUCAUUGAACAAUGUAUGAGAUGUUAAAUGUGAGUGAGCACAUUGGUGUUACCCCCCCACACACACAUUCACACAACUUCAGAGAGUGGGAGAGAGGGGUUCAACAGUGGAUUCUUCUGGAAUUCAAUACAUCCGUGUUUGCAUUUUCAUCUUACUAUAAUGCUUUUCUAAUGUUUGCCACCAAAGCAGCCAAGACGAAGACAGAACAGCAUACUGCAAUGAUAUGCCCCGAAAAGACAUGAACAUUGUAACAAAGAACUGAGUAGUAGAUAGCACUUUAUUUGCAAUGUGUCGCAAGAAAUAUGCGUUCCCCUUUUAAAGUAAUCAAUAGUAUUUAUAGUGGAGUCUUGUAAACCCUUCUAAUAUUAAUUAAUCAUUGCUUUUUAGAAUUAUAAGACAUUAUACGAUAAAAAAAUGCAUUGGCAGAAACACACUUGUUUAAGCUCCAAUUGCUGUUGUUGUUUAAGUAUUGCCAAAGCAAUCCCAUCUAUAAUUAAACUCUCAUAACAUAGUGUAUGAAUAGUGCAUAGUGAUUAAUGAACAAGGUAAACUGUAUUUACAGCAUGGACUGUGUGUAAACAUUGAUAUCAACCUAUAUCACCCUGAUUUCAUACAUGAUGGCCUUCGAAGGUAAAGAUGGUUCCCAACACGUCCUUUGAACUACUGACAUACUUUGAACUAUUGACAAAAUUCAAUAAACAAACACUAAAAACAUACACAUGCUAAGUAGGAGCAGGAGAGCAAUGAAUCUUCCAAGGGCUCGACCAGUGGGUUGUGCUGAACUCUACAGCUCACUUCCACUCAGUCCCUUGCUCGUCUCCGCAGGACUCCUCAAGUACCUCAAAGUAGGGUUAUCCAUCGGAUGAAAGGACUCAAAAAUGAGAAGGUCCCCCGUGUACCUAUUGACCUGCGGCCCUUGGGGCCCUCUGCUGCUCCAGCAUGGACCUGAUGGCCGGGGACAUCAUGGCCGGGUUCAUGGCCGGGCUCAUUCCGGGGCGCAGAGGGUACUGCGCUCCUUUACCUGGCACGUAGAUGCACUGGAAGUAUCUUUGACCUUCAACGACAGUAUGGGAUCAUUAGAAAAGGAAACAGGUACAAACAAUACAUUCGUAUGAAUCAUAGUGUAGAGUGAAGGAUUAUGUUGCUUGAUUAGCAGAGCAACCACUAUAUUAUCAUAUUAUUAUUAUCAUAACUUUGGUGCCUUAGAAACCAGGAAACCAUCUGUCAGUUGUGGCAACCCCGCACCGGCGGACCUGGAGGAAACUCGCCAACGCUCUGAACAGCGCCCUCUCUAUGGACAAGUAGUCCAAGGGAGAUACAUCCCCUUCAACACGGCUGUAACCGCCCACCAAUCAAGCAGGCACAGACAAUCAUGGGGAUUGAGAUCACCUGGGGGAAGGCGGCGGCAGUGGGGUAUUAAAGGCCGAGCACACGGCAGUCAAGGGAGAGAGAAGCAGAGGCGAGACCGACAUACUAUCACCCUAACGUGUGGAAUGCUUUCUUCUAGGAAUAACUGAAGGGCGCCGGGAGCAACGUAUGCGCCGGACACCAAGACCGACCUGGCCGGGGAACCCUCACCCUUUUUCCCCAUAGUGGAAGUAGCCAAAGUUAAUUUAUGAUUUUCCUUAUUCUUCUGAGCGGUCCUGAAAUAAAACCCUUGUUCUGACACCGGGCCUGAGCGUCCUUUAUUGGGAAUCCCAGCCACCGACCCCUGGGGUUGCCACACAGUGGUAAGACAGCCAUGCUCCCAGUUAAACCAGUUCACCUGUUUUCUUCUUGUCCGUUGUGUUGUCUUCCGUUUUGGGUUCAGGCUUCAGUUUGCC
ensembl:lncRNA